AUUGAACGCUGGCGGCAGGCCUAACACAUGCAAGUCGAGCGGAUGAGUGGAGCUUGCUCCAUGAUUCAGCGGCGGACGGGUGAGUAAUGCCUAGGAAUCUGCCUGGUAGUGGGGGACAACGUUUCGAAAGGAACGCUAAUACCGCAUACGUCCUACGGGAGAAAGUGGGGGAUCUUCGGACCUCACGCUAUCAGAUGAGCCUAGGUCGGAUUAGCUAGUUGGGGAGGUAAAGGCUCACCAAGGCGACGAUCCGUAACUGGUCUGAGAGGAUGAUCAGUCACACUGGAACGGAGACACGGUCCAGACUCCUACGGGAGGCAGCAGUGGGGAAUAUUGGACAAUGGGCGAAAGCAUGAUCCAGCCAUGCCGCGUGUGUGAAGAAGGUCUUCGGAUUGUAAAGCACUUUAAGUUGGGAGGAAGGGCAGUAAGUUAAUACCUUGCUGUUUUGGCGUUACCAACAGAAUAAGCACCGGCUAACUUCGUGCCAGCCGCCGCAGUAACAC
rnacentral:rRNA from 1 species